GACGAACGCUGGCGGCGUGCUUAACACAUGCAAGUCGAACGGAAAGGCCUAGCUUGCUGGGUACUCUCGUGGCGCAAGGGUGUGUAACACGUGGGUGAGCUGCCCCUGACUCUGGGGUAAGCCUGCGAAACUGGGUCUCUUAUAGGAUAUUCAUUUUUCUUCUCCUGGGGAUUUGUGGAAAGCUUUUGCGGUUGGGGAUGGGCCCGCGGCCUAUCAGCUUGUUGGUGGGGUAAUGGCCUACCAAGGCUUCGACGGGUAGCCGGCCUGAGAGGGUGAUCGGCCACACUGGGACUGAGACACGGCCCAGACUCCUACGGGAGGCAGCAGUGGGGAAUAUUGCACAAUGGGCGCAAGCCUGAUGCAGCGACGCCGCGUGAGGGAUGACGGCCUUCGGGUUGUAAACCUCUUUCGCCUGCGACGAAGCGCAAGUGACGGUAAGAGCAGAAGAAGCACCGGCUAACUACGUG
rnacentral:rRNA from 1 species